UAUUAUAACGAAUUUAACAGAUUUUUAAAAUUACUUUAAUGGACGUAACCGUUGAAAAUUUGUCAAUAAAAAACGAAAGUCCUUUAAACACUAGAGGUAACUCACAUUAAUGUAGAUGAAACUGAGGUUGGUCAACGCACUGGCUGUCAUGGAGCUCUCGCUCUUGCGAUCAUACAUCUGAAGUGUUUCGAUGGCCUGGUUAACAUCGUUCUGACGCAGAUAAACCAAAGCUUUGUUCAGCUCCAGCUCGUUGGCGAGCCACGACAGAUUCGAGGUCCUUAUGACCUCAAUGCACCAGUUGUAACCUGAAGGAUGUUCUCUUCGAUUAAUGGUGAAAUCAAAUCCACAAUCAUGGUAAUCGAACGCUUCUCCGAGUUGCGACGCUGCUUCGUAUAAACUGCGAGUUCGUCGGUCUUGAGGGCCUGCAGAACGUAGCGAUUCUUCUUCGCAUUGGCG